ACCGGAUCUCAUAUGAGCUUGAGCUCAAUGACUCCUUGUCCUGAAAAAGUAUCUUUCUUCACACGCUGUUGAACUAGGCAACCGACAAUUCAUCGAGCCAUCCACUGAAUAAACAGGAACAAAUACAACCCUUUUAUUUUGAUGCUGCUUUGUAUAAUCAGCUUCUUUAGAAACAACCAUGCAUGCACUCAACUGAACUAAACUUGCUUGGUUAAUCUCUUACUAUUUCUUUCCAAGAAAUCUUUGCGACGGCGACGGCUCGUGUCGGUAGCUGUCUCACUCAACACCGCGUGCCGACAUGCCAACUCCGUUCAGGCCCAGCUUGACAGAGGAACCGACGAGGAGGGGUGAUCGGGGAACCAGCUAGCUCAUGGGCGCCAGCUGCUAGAACUAGAUCUCGUCGUCGUUCAAGCUGGGCCACUCAGACCGCUGCCGGCUGCAAGCCUCCUUCAUCCACAGCCAUUGGGGCCACGGGACACAGUAGUUGAUUGUUUCAGUUAUCUACUUCUCUGUUUCUCAAAUAAAUGGAGCACAAGGACCAUCAUCACUCUCGUGUAAGAGCAUCUCUAACAAAUCAUGUAUAAAUCACGAAACAAUGAAAUAAACACCGGUUUACAGUUUUAAACGAUAAAAAACAGUCUGAAUAGAAUCCGUAAACGACAACGAACUGUUUUUUUUGUUGAGGGGCACGGUAAAAAAGCUUCUCCUGAUCUACAAAAAUACAGUUUUUGCGUCCGCUUCUACGGUGCCCUGUAUCGAGAGAAAGCAGUUGACGGAAACCCAACUGCCACGAAAACUUUCGCAUCCGUCGUCCACGUUCACCGUGCGCCACCC
rnacentral:lncRNA from 1 species